ACUCCUACGGGAGGCAGCAGUCGGGAAUAUUGCGCAAUGGAGGAAACUCUGACGCAGUGACGCCGCGUGCAGGAAGAAGGUUUUCGGAUUGUAAACUGCUUUAGACAGGGAAGAAUAAAGACAGUACCUGUAGAAUAAGCUCCGGCUAAUACGUGCCAGCAGCCGCGGUAAU
rnacentral:rRNA from 1 species